GCAUCUCUGAGUAACAAUAUAUAAAUAUCAUACACAAUAAGUGGUUUAUGAGUUACAAUUUUUAACCAGUAUUUUAAAACUUUUUGUUUUCUAAUUACAUUCAUUGGCAAACGCCCUAGUUCGCCAUAUAAAAAUACAUUUGGCGUACUUUUACCCAGUUUCAAAAUAGAUCGACAAAAACGGUUAUGGAUAAUUUCAACAUCAUUUCCACGAUGGAAACCCCAAAUUUCCGAAGCAUAAUUUAUCACAGACGCAACCAUACUAUCGAACAGAUCACAUUUCUUUUUCUUCGUCAAGUAUAAACCAUUUGUAGAAUUAUUUAGAGCUGCCAAAGAUCGUGAACCUUGUAAGG
rnacentral:lncRNA from 1 species